AUCCAGCUAACGAGUCCCAAAUAGGACGAAACGCGCGUCCUGAAU
rnacentral:hammerhead_ribozyme from 1 species